rnacentral:rRNA from 1 species
ACGGCGUAGUAAUGUGUAGGAACGUGCCCUCUGGACGGGGAUAGCUACGGGAAACUGUAGGUAAUACCCGAUGAUCUCUGCGGAGCAAAGGUGUGAUUCCGCCGGAGGAGCGGCUUACAUGAUAUUAGCUAGUUGGUGGGGUAAUGGCCCACCAAGGCGAUGAUGUCUAGGGGGUGUGAGAGCAUGGCCCCCACGACCGGAACUGAGAUACUGUCCGGACACCUACGGGUGGCUGCAGUCGAGAAUCUUCCGCAAUGGACGAAAGUCUGACGGAGCGAUGCCGCGUGCGGGAUGAAGGCCCUUGGGUUGUAAACCGCUGUCAGAGGGGAUGAAAUCUCCGGAGGUUCUCCUCCGGAGUUGACAGAGCCUCAGAGGAAGCACGGGCUAAGUAUGUGCCAGCAGCCGCGGUAAUACAUACUGUGCGAACGUUAUUCGGAAUCACUGGGCUUAAAGGGUGCGUAGGCGGCGAUUCAAGUCAGAUGUGAAAUGCCUGAGCUCAACUGAGGCAUUGCGUUUGAAACUGGAUUGCUGGAGUGUCCCAGGGGUGUGCGGAACUGCCAGUGGAGCGGUGAAAUGUGUUGA